AGUAUUGAAGGCAUGGAAUCACCUAAUUUUGCUUUAUUUGCUCUUUUUUCGCUCCUCCUGGUAAGUGUAAGUUCUAAAAAUUUAUAACAUACUUUUGCUUUAUGAUAUAUGUUUUACAAAUGAUGAUAAUUUUACACUUAUGGAUUUUUAAAUAAACAGAUUGGAAGCACUAUUGAUGCAAGAACUGAUCCAGAUGCGUACUGGAAAAGUGUUACUAAUGCUGAGGCAAUGCCAGAAGCAAUUCAGAGCCUUAUAAACAAGGGUGAUUUAGUAUCUCCUUUUUCCAUCAAGAAAGCUAGCAAUGCUGAAGAGAAGCAUUUGACCAAAGCCCAUGAAUCAGAAAAUUUGCUAUUUCCCGUCUACGCCGACCACAAGGAUAAACCAGCCCAUGAAUCAGAAAAUUUGCUAUUUCUCAUCUACGCCGACCACAAGGAUAAACCAGUCCAUGAAUCAGAAAAUUUGCUAUUUCCCAUCUACGCCGACCACAAGGAUAAACCAGCCCAUGAAUCAGAAAGUGUAAUAGUCGAAAUAUAGCGUUCAACAAAAGACCCAAUAAG
rnacentral:lncRNA from 1 species